CGGUCCCCCCUUUAAAGCCCUUCGGGGCUGGAUUAUUUGGCGAACGGGUGAGUAACACGUGGGCAAUCUGCCCUGCACUCUGGGACAAGCCCUGGAAACGGGGUCUAAUACCGGAUAUGACCGUCUUGGGCAUCCUUGACGGUGUAAAGCUCCGGCGGUGCAGGAUGAGCCCGCGGCCUAUCAGCUUGUUGGUGAGGUAAUGGCUCACCAAGGCGACGACGGGUAGCCGGCCUGAGAGGGCGACCGGCCACACUGGGACUGAGACACGGCCCAGACUAAUACGGGAGGCAGCAGUGGGGAAUAUUGCACAAUGGGCGAAAGCCUGAUGCAGCGACGCCGCGUGAGGGAUGACGGCCUUCGGGUUGUAAACCUCUUUCAGCAGGGAAGAAGCGAAAGUGACGGUACCUGCAGAAGAAGCGCCGGCUAACUACGUGCCAGCAGCCGCGGUAAUACGUAGGGCGCAAGCGUUGUCCGGAAUUAUUGGGCGUAAAGAGCUCGUAGGCGGCUUGUCACGUCGGUUGUGAAAGCCCGGGGCUUAACCCCGGGUCUGCAGUCGAUACGGGCAGGCUAGAGUUCGGUAGGGGAGAUCGGAAUUCCUGGUGUAGCGGUGAAAUGCGCAGAUAUCAGGAGGAACACCGGUGGCGAAGGCGGAUCUCUGGGCCGAUACUGACGCUGAGGAGCGAAAGCGUGGGGAGCGAACAGGAUUAGAUACCCUGGUAGUCCACGCCGUAAACGGUGGGCACUAGGUGUGGGCAACAUUCCACGUUGUCCGUGCCGCAGCUAACGCAUUAAGUGCCCCGCCUGGGGAGUACGGCCGCAAGGCUAAAACUCAAAGGAAUUGACGGGGGCCCGCACAAGCGGCGGAGCAUGUGGCUUAAUUCGACGCAACGCGAAGAACCUUACCAAGGCUUGACAUACACCGGAAACGUCUGGAGACAGGCGCCCCCUUGUGGUCGGUGUACAGGUGGGUGCAUGGCUGUCGUCAGCUCGUGUCGUGAGAUGUUGGGUUAAGUCCCGCAACGAGCGCAACCCUUGUCCCGUGUUGCCAGCAGGCCCUUGUGGUGCUGGGGACUCACGGGAGACCGCCGGGGUCAACUCGGAGGAAGGUGGGGACGACGUCAAGUCAUCAUGCCCCUUAUGUCUUGGGCUGCACACGUGCUACAAUGGCCGGUACAAUGAGCUGCGAUACCGUGAGGUGGAGCGAAUCUCAAAAAGCCGGUCUCAGUUCGGAUUGGGGUCUGCAACUCGACCCCAUGAAGUCGGAGUCGCUAGUAAUCGCAGAUCAGCAUUGCUGCGGUGAAUACGUUCCCGGGCCUUGUACACACCGCCCGUCACGUCACGAAAGUCGGUAACACCCGAAGCCGGUGGUCCCAACUCUUAUGUAGUAAGGU
rnacentral:rRNA from 1 species